rnacentral:ncRNA from 1 species
GGUUAAGUUAUGAAGGGCGCAUGGUGAAUGCCUUGGUACUAGGAGCCGAUGAAGGACGGGACAAACACCGAUAUGCUUCGGGGAGUGGUAAGUGCACUUUGAUCCGGAGAUUUCCGAAUGGGGAAACCCAACCAACUUAGUCGUUGGUUAUCUGACUAGUGAAUUCAUAGCUAGCAGAGGGAAGACGCAGUGAACUGAAACAUCUCAGUAGCUGCAGGAAGAGAAAGAAAAAUCGAUUCCCUGAGUAGCGGCGAGCGAAAGGGGAAGAGCCCAAACCAGUGAGCUUGCUUACUGGGGUUGUAGGACUGAACAAUGGAGUUACCAAAAUGCGACGUAGUCGCAACAGCUGGGAAGCUGUGCCAGAGAGGGUGAUAGCCCCGUAGACGAAACGUCACAUUCUCCGUUCAGGAUCCUGAGUACGGCGGGACACGUGAAACCCCGUUGGAAGCUGCGAGAACCAUCUCGCAAGGCUAAAUACUACCUAGUGACCGAUAGUGAACCAGUACCGUGAGGGAAAGGUGAAAAGUACCCCGGAAGGGGAGUGAAAUAGUUCCUGAAACCAUGUGCCUACAAGCAGUCGGAGCCCGUUAAUGGGUGACGGCGUGCCUCUUGCAGAAUGAACCGGCGAGUUAUGAUUGCAUGCAAGGUUAAGGUAGAAAAACCGGAGCCGUAGCGAAAGCGAGUCUUAAAUGGGCGUAAGAAGUAUGUAGUUAUAGACCCGAAACCAGGUGACCUACCCAUGUCCAGGUUGAAGGUGCGGUAAAGCGCACUGGAGGACCGAACCCGUGUCAGUUGAAAAUGGCUGGGAUGAGGUGUGGGUAGCGGUGAAAUUCCAAACGAACUUGGAGAUAGCUGGUUCUCUCCGAAAUCUCUUUAGGGGGAGCCUUGAGGAAAAGAAUCGUGGAGGUAGAGCUACUGUUUGGACAAGGGGCCCGUCAUGGGUUACCAACUUCAGAUAAACUCCGAAUGCCAUCGAUUUAUCCUCAGGAGUCAGACGAUGAGUGAUAAGAUCCACCGUCGAAAGGGGAACAGCCCAGAUCACCAGUUAAGGUCCCUAAAUAUAUGCUAAGUGGAAAAGGAUGUGGAGUUGCAUAGACAACUAGGAUGUUGGCUCAGAAGCAGCCACCAUUUAAAGAGUGCGUAAUAGCUCACUAGUCGAGUGAUCCUGCGCCGAAAAUGUACCGGGGCUAAGCAUAUUACCGAAACUGUGGAUGUGCACUACGUGCACGUGGUAGGAGAGCGUUCUAAGGGCGGCGAAGUCAGACCGUGAGGACUGGUGGAGCGCUUAGAAGUGAGAAUGCCGGUAUGAGUAGCGAAAGACAGGUGAGAAUCCUGUCCACCGAAUGACUAAGGUUUCCUGGGGAAGGCUCGUCCUCCCAGGGUAAGUCGGGACCUAAGCUGAGGCCGAGAGGCGUAGGCGAUGGAUAACAGGUUGAGAUUCCUGUACCAGUUGAAUGCGUUUGAAUGAUGGAGGGACGCAGGAGGCUAAGCGAACCGCAUGAUUGGAAGAGUGCGGCCAAGCAA